rnacentral:lncRNA from 1 species
CCUCAUUGGUCCCACGGAGGGGCUGAUCCGACAGCCCCGCUCCUACAAACAGUGGGCUGGGACGUGCGGAGCCACUGGAGCGCGCGGGGUUCGGGCAGAGCCACUGAGGUGUGGGGGUUCAAGCUGUGCAUGGAGAGCCUUAGCUGGGAGAACAAGCAAGUUUUUAGCAAGCAUCUAAGCCAGGGAUUUCACCAGGAGCAGUUGCUGCCUUGCUUUGGAGGAGAGACUAUUGCAGGUGACUCUGGAGCUGGGAGAAGCUGCAGAGGUAUCAGGGAGGAAACCAGCCGAGGAGGACAUGGCAAGCAGUAACUCAAGAGGAGAAAGUGUUUUCUCCCUGGGACCUGGAUGGGAGCAUGGAGAUAGAAACUGGGCUCAUAAUAGUUCAGAGAAAAGAGAGAGGAAGGAGUGGGAACUAAGACAGCCUCGAAAGUACCAGCAGCAGGACAGUGAAUACAAAUGAAUGGGAGGGAGACUGCAGCAGGUGAGGAAGUUCUCAUUAAGGAGAGCUUAAUGAGACAAUAAAAGCCUCUGGGAAGCCUAACGGUCCCCCUGCCUCUCCUCUGGUGAGACUUUCCUGAGGUGCCCCUUUCCCUACAAACACUGCUGGGUCUGCUGGCAAAGGCCAGAUGGUACCACGGGGACCAGCGGAGAUGGAGAGGAUCAGCCACAGCGAUGGAGGUGCCCGGAGCAGUGUGGCAGCCGCCCGUCCGUCCAUCCCUCUGACAGGGCUGCAGGCGUAGGAGCUCCGAAACGCGGACACCCUGCGGACAUCCACAGCUUUUAUUCCACAUGGACUUUGCACCGGGGCUCUCCCAACCCUGGCAAGGGUCUUUUUUGGUGGGUGGGAGCUGAACUGCGGCGUUGGUGUCCUGGUUCCCACAUCAUGCCAGACGGGGACCCAGAAGUGCCCUUCUCUUUGGCAGAGAAGGGCAACGAGGCUGGUGAAGGGGUCUAGAAGAUGUGUUUUCUGAGGGAGCUGAGUUUGUUUACCUGGAAAAGGUUUGUUUGAGCCUGGAGGAGGCUCAUGGGAGACAUCAUCGCUCUCCACAACAACCUGAAAGGAGGUUGCAGUGAGGUGGGGACUGGUAUCUUCUACCGUGCAUGCAGUGAGGACUAGAGGAAACGGCCUUAAGCUGCGACAGGGGAAGUUCAGAUCAGAUACCAGAAAUUUUUUUUCACUGUUCAGGUGGUCAGGCAUUGGAACGGGCUGUCCAGGGAGAGGUGGCGGAGUCGCCGUAUCUGGAGGGUGUUUUCCAGAGGCGUCUGGAUCUGGCGAUGGGUGAGAUGCUUUAGGGGCUAUAGUGGCAGUGCUGGGCAGGCGGUCGGACUGGAGGAUCUUCAAGGUCUCUCCCAACCCUGAUGGUUCU